rnacentral:rRNA from 1 species
UACGUAGGGUGCGAGCGUUAAUCGGAAUUACUGGGCGUAAAGUGUGCGCAGGCGGCGCCGCAAGUCGAGUGUGAAAGCCCCGAGCUCAACUUGGGAAUUGCAGUGGAUACUGGCAGGCUGGAGUACGGUAGAGGAAGGUGGAAUUCCCGGUGUAGCAGUGAAAUGCGUAGAUAUCGGGAGGAACACCAGUGGCGAAGGCGGCCUUCUGGACCAGUACUGACGCUCAUGCACGAAAGCGUGGGGAGCAAACAGA